GGAGGAAGAUCCGUAGGUGAACCUGCGGAUACGCAUGUGGAUAGCGCGGAGGAAGUACCCGAAGUCUUUUGUAUUUUAGUGGCCUCUCUGAGACAACAAGCAAAUAAGUUAAAACUUUCAACAACGGAUCUCUUGGUUCUGGCAUCGAUGAAGAACGCAGCGAAAUGCGAUAAGUAAUGGUGAUUGCAGAAUUCAGUGAAUCAUCGAAUCUUUGACGCACAUUGCGCCCGCCAGUACUCUGGCGGGCAUGCCUGUUCGAGCGUCAUUUCAACCCUCAAGCCCUGCUUGGUGUUGGGGUCCUACGGCUGCCGUAGGCCCUGAAAGCUAGUGGCGGGCUCGCUAUAACUCCGAGCGUAGUAGUAAAAUAUCUCGCUAGGCAGGUGUCGCGGGUUCCGGCCGUGAAAGCCCAUCUUUUACACAAGGUUGACCUCGGAUCAGGUAGGAAUACCCGCUGAACUUAAGCAUAUCAUUAGCCGGAAG
rnacentral:rRNA from 1 species